UUUGGUUAGUCUACUGCCAGCCAUCGUUGUAUAAAUCACUCAAAAUGUCUUCUCGGGGACGUGGAAAGUCUGCAUCUACCCUGACCAGGAAAGAUAGCGUCGUCUUAGAGGAAGAAAAGGCUUUCUUGGCAAAGAGACCCGGCAAGAAAUCGGAAGGACCUCAGAAACCCACCGAAGACAAAGCAGCAUCUGGUGCCACAAAGCUACAGAAGUAACUGUUAGAAUAAAAAUUUGGUUUUUAGUUAUAUAAACUUAGUGAUACCAUUAUGUAUAUUAAUCUUCACACGGCCUGCCUGCAGGUAGUUAGCCUCCUAUAUUCUCUCUAGCCAGACAAAACGUAUUGCAAAGAAUUGACUUCUCCCGUUUUAAGUUUACCUGCAAGGGCAGACUACUUAUCACAAAGCUUU